rnacentral:tRNA from 6 species
GGAGACGUAUCGAAGUGGUCAUAACGGGGCUGACUCGAAAUCAGUUGGCCGGGGUAACCUGGCACGCGGGUUCAAAUCCCGCCGUCUCCGCUA